AUUGAACGCUGGCGGCAUGCUUUACACAUGCAAGUCGAACGGUAACAGGCCGCAAGGUGCUGACGAGUGGCGAACGGGUGAGUAAUGCAUCGGAACGUGCCCAGUCGUGGGGGAUAACGCAGCGAAAGCUGUGCUAAUACCGCAUACGAUCUAUGGAUGAAAGCGGGGGACCGUAAGGCCUCGCGCGAUUGGAGCGGCCGAUGUCAGAUUAGGUAGUUGGUGGGGUAAAGGCUCACCAAGCCAACGAUCUGUAGCUGGUCUGAGAGGACGACCAGCCACACUGGGACUGAGACACGGCCCAGACUCCUACGGGAGGCAGCAGUGGGGAAUUUUGGACAAUGGGCGCAAGCCUGAUCCAGCAAUGCCGCGUACAGGAAGAAGGCCUUCGGGUUGUAAACUGCUUUUGUACGGAACGAAACGGUCUGGGUUAAUACCCUGGGCUAAUGACGGUACCGUAAGAAUAAGCACCGGCUAACUACGUGCCAGCAGCCGCCGUAAGAC
rnacentral:rRNA from 1 species